rnacentral:rRNA from 1 species
GAUGAACGCUGGCGGCGUGCCUAAUACAUGCAAGUCGAGCGAACAGAUAAGGAGCUUGCUCCUUUGACGUUAGCGGCGGACGGGUGAGUAACACGUGGGUAACCUACCUAUAAGACUGGGAUAACUUCGGGAAACCGGAGCUAAUACCGGAUAACUUUUGGAACCGCAUGGUUCUAAAGUGAAAGAUGGUUUUGCUAUCACUUAUAGAUGGACCCGCGCCGUAUUAGCUAGUUGGUAAGGUAACGGCUUACCAAAGCGACGAUACGUAGCCGACCUGAGAGGGAGGACGGCCACACGGGAAGUGAGACAGAGUAGAGACACCUACAGUGGGACACAGUAGAGAAUCCUACGGGAUGGAGGAGAGCCUAACGGAGCACAGCCGCGGGAGGGAUGAAGGAGUUCGGCUCGGUAAACUCUGUUAGUAGUAGAGAACAAAAGUGUAAGUAACUGUGCUGAUCAUGACGGUACCGAGAGAAAAAGCCACGGCUAACUACGUG